UGCCACAUCCAUAUCACCUUGCAACUCAAGACCGGUUACUCACUGAAGCUAAGCAGAGCUAAGCAGGGCUGAGCCUGGUCAGUACCUGCAUGGGAGGCCAGCAGGGGGCCCUCAACCUGUGGUCU
rnacentral:rRNA from 1 species